rnacentral:rRNA from 1 species
GACGAACGCUGGCGGCGUGCUGAACACAUGCAAGUCGAACGGAAAGGCCUGCUUUCCCUUGUGGAUUGCGGGUACUCGAGUGGCGAACGGGUGAGUAACACGUGAGUGAUCUGCCCCCAACUUGGGUAUAAGCCUGGGAAACUGGGUCUAAUUCCCGAUAGGACUGCAGGGUGGUGCCUGUGGUGGAAAACGAUUUUCUAGUGGUUGGGGAUGAGCUCGCGGCCUAUCAGCUUGUUGGUGGGGUAAUGGCCUACCAAGGCGGCGACGGGUAGCCGGCCUGAGAGGGUGGACGGCCACAUUGGGACGGAGAUACGGCCCAGACUCCUACGGGAGGCAGCAGUGGGGAAUAUUGCACAAUGGGCGGAAGCCUGAUGCAGCGACGCCGCGUGGGGGAUGACGGCCUUCGGGUUGUAAACUCCUUUCGACCGCGAGGAAGCCACCUGGUUGGAAGGGUGGUGACGGUAGUGGUAGAAGAAGCACCGGCUAACUACGUG